rnacentral:rRNA from 1 species
UACGGAGGGUGCAAGCGUUAAUCGGAAUUACUGGGCGUAAAGCGCACGUAGGUGGUUUGCUAAGUCAGCUGUGAAAUCUCCGGGCUCAACCUGGGCACUGCAGUUGAAACUGGCAAGCUAGAGUAGGGUAGAGGGGUGUGGAAUUCCAGGUGUAGCGGUGAAAUGCGUAGAUAUCGGGAGGAACACCAGUGGCGAAGGCGGCUUUCUGGCCUGUUCUUGACGCUGAGGCGCGAAAGCUAGGGUAGCAAACGGG